GGCUCAGGAUGAACGCUGGCGGCGUGCUUAAUACAUGCAAGUCGAACGGUCUGGCGCAAGCCAGAUAGUGGCGAACGGGUGAGUAACGCGUUGGUGACCUGCCCCGAAGUGUGGGAUAACAGUUCGAAAGGAUUGCUAAUACCGCAUAAUAUCUCCGGGAUUAGAAGCCUGGGGAGGAAAGGAGGAAUUCGCUUUGGGAGGGACCUGCGUCCCAUCAGCUAGUUGGUAAGGUAACGGCUUACCAAGGCUACGACGGGUAGGGGACCUGAGAGGGUGGCCCCCCACAAUGGAACUGAAACACGGUCCAUACACCUACGGGUGGCAGCAGUAGGGAAUAUUGGUAAUCUGCGAAAGCGGGAACCAGCAACGCCGCGUGUGCGAUGAAGGCCUUCGGGUCGUAAAGCACUUUUCGAUGGGAUGAGGAAGGACAGUACCAUCGGAAUAAGUCUCGGCUAACUACGUGCCAGCAGCCGCGGUAAAACGUAGGAGGCGAGCGUUAUCCGGAUUUACUGGGUGUAAAGCGCGUGCAGGCGGUUCUGUAAGUUGGAUGUGAAAGCUCCCGGCUCAACUGGGAGAGGUCGUUCAAUACUACAGGACUAGAGGAUGGUAGAGGGAGGUGGAAUUCCGGGUGUAGUGGUGAAACGCGUAGAUAUCCGGAGGAACACCAGUGGCGAAAGCGGCCUCCUGGACCAAACCUGACGCUCAGAUGCGAAAGCUAGGGGAGUAAACGGGAUUAGAGACCCCGGUAAUCCUAGCUGUAAACGAUGUAGACUUGGCGUUGGCGGGUUUAAAUCCGUCGGUGCCGCAGCAAACGCGAUAAGUCUACCACCUG
rnacentral:rRNA from 1 species